rnacentral:lncRNA from 1 species
GUCAACUUUAAUCAAUCAUAAGAUAUUUAUUUUUUGUACAACAAAUCCUUUUGUCAUGAAACUUUUGUUUACUUAAGUUGGUGAUAGGUAUUUUUCAAGACUGGUGUAAAGCUUUAAUACUAUUUUGUUGGCUUUGGUGCUAUCCUAUAGUGUGCUAUGUGAUUAAGUGUAGUAGCUUACAUUUUGCAUGUGAAAUUAAAAUAUGAUCAAACAUAUGGUAGUAUUUAUUUAAGGAAUGACUGUUAUAUUUUUUCUGUCUAUGAAGAAAUAACAUAAAAAAUGUGGUGCACACUGAAUGACGUGCGUAGCGGGUUAUUUAACAGUGUGCACCACAUUUUUUAUGUUAUUUCGAAUAGACAGAACAAAUACUUAUAAUUUAAUUCUAAAUUCCAUUUUAAAUCGGCGUAAAUCAAGAAAAAACGUUGAUGACGUCAUGGUCACAUGACCAUAUUGUGUCUAUGAUAUGAAAAACAAAAUGACGUCAGCUAAUCAGAAGACGUGUUACAUCCAAAAUUAAAUUAUAAUGUUAUAUCUUCCUAUUAGAUACUUAUUAUUACUUAAAUUCAUAUCAAAUAAACAUAUUGUAUGAAGG